rnacentral:rRNA from 1 species
UGGGGAAUAUUGGACAAUGGGCGCAAGCCUGAUCCAGCCAUGCCGCGUGUGUGAAGAAGGCCUUCGGGUUGUAAAGCACUUUCAGUAGGGAGGAAGCGUUGUGUGUUAAUAGUACACAGCGUUGACGUUACCUACAGAAGAAGCACCGGCUAACUCUGUGCCAGCAGCCGCGGUAAUACAGAGGGUGCAAGCGUUAAUCGGAAUUACUGGGCGUAAAGCGCACGUAGGCGGUUUUUUAAGUCAGAUGUGAAAGCCCCGGGCUCAACCUGGGAAUUGCAUUUGAAACUGGAAAACUAGAGUGUGUGAGAGGGGGGUAGAAUUCCAAGUGUAGCGGUGAAAUGCGUAGAGAUUUGGAGGAAUACCAGUGGCGAAGGCGGCCCCCUGGCACAACACUGACGCUCAGGUGCGAAAGCGUGGGGAGCAAACAGGAUUAGAUACCCUGGUAGUCCACGCCGUAAACGAUGUCUACUAGCUGUUCGUGACCUUGUGUCGUGAGUAGCGCAGCUAACGCAUUAAGUAGACCGCCUGGGGAGUACGGCCGCAAGGUUA